GGUAAUUUCCCACAUUGAUCCUUCCUUUGUUUUUACUUUUCAUAUUAUUCAUUCUUUGAUCAAUCCAAAGACUAAUCAUUCAAGAAAAAAAAAAUUAAGGAUAAAGAGAAGCUUAGUGAUUAAAGGUUAAUUAAUGAAUGUUUACAUGAACCCUGCCCAGAAAAAUCUGUAAAGUGUAGCCGAAGUUCACAAGCUUAACGUUCAUUACUCAUGUGAACCAAACCAAACUCUACCCAGCAAGCAUUAUUUGUUGUCCUUUUCCUUUGUUGGGAAUUGCGAUUUUGGUUUUUUUCUCUUAAAUCUACCGACGAUUCUCCAUAUGGGUCCACCAUGCCUAUAUCUGACGUUAUGAUCAUAUGUGGGACAAUGGAGCUGUCG
rnacentral:misc_RNA from 1 species